CAAGGCAACGACGAGAACUCACCCUUGCCACCUGAGCUAACACCAUUUUUCGACAGGUCUGUUAUCAAAGGUCCUGAUGGACUUGACAUGUUAUAUUUGAACCAGUGGCUAGCUAGUAGCGGGUUAGAUUCAGAUACAAGUAAGAAAAGCCUGAAAAUCACAAGUGCAGGAGGAGGAGCAGCAUCAGAUCUAGUUCGAGCAACGUUUGAGAUUACUCGUGAAGAUUUCAAAAAGUUAAGGGAAAGGGUGUUACCUAAACUACCAGAUAGUGGGAAAGAAAUGCAUCUAUCAACUUUUGUGCUUUCGUUUGCUUAUGUAACAACUUGCAUGGUGAAAGCUAGAGGAGGAGAUGGAGAUAGAAAAGUUGCUUUCGCAUUCACAGCUGAUUGCAGGCCACGAUUAAACCCUCCUGUCUCACAAAACUAUUUCGGAAACUGUAAUAGACCUAAAUUUGAAGUGGCGAAAGCAAGGGAUUUCCUUGAUGAAAACGGGUUUGUGUUUGCUGUUCAGAAAGCAAGUGGAAUGGUUAAAGAUUUAAUGGAGAGAUGGGUUCUUGAAGGAAUGGAAAAGAUUCUAUCAUAUAGUUUAGAUGUUCUUAAAGAAUCAUCUGAGUCAAACCUUCAAAUUAUAACUGUUGCAGGAUCGCCUCGAUUUGGUGUUUAUGGAACAGAUUUUGGAUGGGGCAAACCCCAUAAGGUGGUAAUUGUUUCCAUUGAUAAGAGUGGAGCUAUUUCCAUGGCAGAAAGUAGAGAUGGGAG
rnacentral:lncRNA from 1 species